GACGAACGCUGGCGGCGUGCUUAACACAUGCAAGUCGAACGGAAAGGCCCUGCUUUUGUGGGGUGCUCGAGUGGCGAACGGGUGAGUAACACGUGAGUAACCUGCCCUUGACUUUGGGAUAACUUCAGGAAACUGGGGCUAAUACCGGAUAGGAGCUCCUGCUGCAUGGUGGGGGUUGGAAAGUUUCGGCGGUUGGGGAUGGACUCGCGGCUUAUCAGCUUGUUGGUGGGGUAGUGGCUUACCAAGGCUUUGACGGGUAGCCGGCCUGAGAGGGUGACCGGCCACAUUGGGACUGAGAUACGGCCCAGACUCCUACGGGAGGCAGCAGUGGGGAAUAUUGCACAAUGGGCGGAAGCCUGAUGCAGCAACGCCGCGUGCGGGAUGACGGCCUUCGGGUUGUAAACCGCUUUCGCCUGUGACGAAGCGUGAGUGACGGUAAUGGGUAAAGAAGCACCGGCUAACUACGUGCCAGCAGCCGCGGUGAUACGUAGGGUGCGAGCGUUGUCCGGAUUUAUUGGGCGUAAAGGGCUCGUAGGUGGUUGAUCGCGUCGGAAGUGUAAUCUUGGGGCUUAACCCUGAGCGUGCUUUCGAUACGGGUUGACUUGAGGAAGGUAGGGGAGAAUGGAAUUCCUGGUGGAGCGGUGGAAUGCGCAGAUAUCAGGAGGAACACCAGUGGCGAAGGCGGUUCUCUGGGCCUUUCCUGACGCUGAGGAGCGAAAGCGUGGGGAGCGAACAGGCUUAGAUACCCUGGUAGUCCAUGCUGUAAACGGUGGGUACUAGGUGUGGGGUCCAUUCCACGGGUUCCGUGCCGUAGCUAACGCUUUAAGUACCCCGCCUGGGGAGUACGGCCGCAAGGCUAAAACUCAAAGGAAUUGACGGGGCCCCGCACAAGCGGCGGAGCAUGCGGAUUAAUUCGAUGCAACGCGUAGAACCUUACCUGGGUUUGACAUGGAUCGGGAGCGCUCAGAGAUGGGUGUGCCUCUUUUGGGGUCGGUUCACAGGUGGUGCAUGGCUGUCGUCAGCUCGUGUCGUGAGAUGUUGGGUUAAGUCCCGCAACGAGCGCAACCCUUGUUCACUGUUGCCAGCACGUUAUGGUGGGGACUCAGUGGAGACCGCCGGGGUCAACUCGGAGGAAGGUGGGGAUGACGUCAAGUCAUCAUGCCCCUUAUGUCCAGGGCUUCACGCAUGCUACAAUGGCUGGUACAGAGAGUGGCGAGCCUGUGAGGGUGAGCGAAUCUCGGAAAGCCGGUCUCAGUUCGGAUUGGGGUCUGCAACUCGACCUCAUGAAGUCGGAGUCGCUAGUAAUCGCAGAUCAGCAACGCUGCGGUGAAUACGUUCCCGGGGCU
rnacentral:rRNA from 1 species